AAGUGGUCGGACCCUUCCCUGGACCCUGCGCAAGCGGGAGCUACAUGCACCAGGUCAAACAAAGGAUCCAUGGAGCGCAACAUAAUCUUCGAAGAAGUCGUUAUCUGACAACUAAAGGGGCAACAUCCUCUAGCAGUCAAGUUUUACCGGAGCCUGGUAAAAUGUCAUGUUGAAUGCAAUGUGUCUGACCUUAAUAGAUGGCGCAGUAAGGUGCAAGACUGGGGCUAAGAUCAAGCUUCCUGAAUUUACAGAUUCUUCAGCAUUUGCUUGGAGACUGUUAAUCC